UCAGAUUUGAAAGGCACUUGUGCCGUUGUAUUCUGAAGUUAGGAUUCUCGAAAACGACACCUAAGUUUUCUGGAAAGGAAUGCCACAGAGGGUGAUAGCCCCGUACGGUGUUGACUCGAUACAGAGUCCUAACAUGGAGUCGAGUUGUUUGGGAAUGCAGCUCAAAUGGGUGGUAUGCUCCAUCUAAGGCUAAAUAUUUGCGAGAGACCGAUAGCGAACAAGUACUGUGAAGGAAAGAUGAAAAGAACUUUGAAAAGAGAGUGAAAUAGUACGUGAAAUUGUUGAAAUGGAAGGGUAGGCCGCUAACCAUGUAGGACCGUGUUUGGGGGGAAGAUAAAUGCUGUAGAAUGUGGCUCCUCGGA
rnacentral:rRNA from 1 species